rnacentral:rRNA from 1 species
GAUGAACGCUGGCGGCGUGCUUAACACAUGCAAGUCGAACGAAGCACUUUUGAUUCUUCGGAAAAGAAAGUGACCGAGUGGCGGACGGGUGAGUAACACGUGGGUAACCUGCCUUAUACAGGGGGAUAACAGUUGGAAACGACUGCUAAUACAGCAUAAGCCGACAGGGCCGCAUGGCCUGGUUGGAAAAGAUUUAUCGGUAUAAGAUGGACCCGCGUCUGAUUAGCUAGUUGGUGGGGUAAUGGCUCACCAAGGCGACGAUCAGUAGCCGGCUUGAGAGAGUGAACGGCCACAUUGGGACUGAGACACGGCCCAAACUCCUACGGGAGGCAGCAGUGGGGAAUAUUGCACAAUGGGGGAAACCCUGAUGCAGCAACGCCGCGUGAAGGAAGAAGUAUUUCGGUAUGUAAACUUCUAUCAGCAGGAAAGAAAAUGACGGUACCUGACUAAGAAGCCCCGGCUAACUACGUGCCAGCCGCCGCCGUAA